GGAUCCAGACUUUGAUUAUGGCUCAGGACGAACGCUGGCGGCGUGCCUAACACAUGCAAGUCGAACGGAACUUCUUUAAAGGAUUUCUUCGGAAUGAAUUUGAUUAAGUUUAGUGGCGGACGGGUGAGUAACGCGUGAGUAACCUGCCUCUAAGAGGGGAAUAACAUUCUGAAAAGAAUGCUAAUACCGCAUAACAUAUAUUUAUCGCAUGGUAGAUAUAUCAAAGAUUUAUCGCUCAGAGAUGGACUCGCGUCCGAUUAGUUAGUUGGUGAGGUAACGGCUCACCAAGACCGCGAUCGGUAGCCGGACUGAGAGGUUGAACGGCCACAUUGGGACUGAGACACGGCCCAGACUCCUACGGGAGGCAGCAGUGGGGGAUAUUGCGCAAUGGGGGAAACCCUGACGCAGCAACGCCGCGUGAAGGAUGAAGGUCUUCGGAUUGUAAACUUCUUUUAUUAAGGACGAAGAAAGUGACGGUACUUAAUGAAUAAGCUCCGGCUAACUACGUGCCAGCAGCCGCGGUAAUACGUAGGGAGCAAGCGUUGUCCGGAUUUACUGGGUGUAAAGGGUGCGUAGGCGGCUUUGCAAGUCAGAUGUGAAAUCUAUGGGCUCAACCCAUAGCCUGCAUUUGAAACUGCAGAGCUUGAGUGAAGUAGAGGCAGGCGGAAUUCCCCGUGUAGCGGUGAAAUGCGUAGAGAUGGGGAGGAACACCAGUGGCGAAGGCGGCCUGCUGGGCUUUAACUGACGCUGA
rnacentral:rRNA from 1 species